rnacentral:lncRNA from 1 species
AAAGAAACUUCACGUCUCCUCAUCGAAUUCUUAAGAGAGACUGGUUUGAUGGACAUAUGGUGAAACCCUUCAGCGGUAUUGUGCGAGACGCUCGGGCGGAGCAAUUGCCGGCCUUGAUCGCCAGGUUAAACCCGCCUGUUGCUACAAUUCACCACCACCACCACAUCCAUUGCGGCUAUUCACAAGUAUAUCCAGCGGGCGCUUCUGCACAUCUAGUCUCCGGCCGUGUUACGUCCGCAUUUUUCUCGCCGGUGGCUUUCAGCUGGGAGACAGAGAUUCGUUCAACUCCUUGCACUUCUGACAAGUACCAUGUAUACACUUCAAUAAUACUACGGAUGUUUUCUCGUGUGGCGUAUAAGCCCCGUGGCAUUUAAGGUUCCGAACGUCUGCUUUUGAAUGAAGCCAUGUUUUCCUCUGACGGCUAUGGUUCGCAUUCUCUCAGUGCUCCUUUCCUUAAUCUUGUUGCUACACCUUGCCGGUUCCGCAAGUACACAAACUUUGUGGGCUUCCGAUGAAAUUUGCUGUGGAAUGUAUUAACUAUGCAGACCUUCGAGGUUAGGUUUAUGCUUCGGAAAAUUUCCUUCACCAGUUUCCAAAAGGCUUUUCUAUGUCGCUCUCCGAGUAAGACGACGUUGAAUUUCUUCCGUUCCUGGUUAUAUUUCUUAGCCGAGUUCAAUUCCUUACCCGUAAUUUAUUUCGCCAACUCGGAGUGCCACACAUUUCACAAUGCUUUUGUAACUCUACGUAGUCUUCACUUUUCUUGAAGGUUGCCGUCCUAUUCAAUGUGUCCUCCGUUUUCUGGUUCCGCCCGUCGGGUCCGCAGAAGUUAGAGGAAUGGGUUCUCCAGGUCUAUCGUGAACCUGUGUUAACGAUUGCUUCUUAAUGAUACCACCUCCUACGUGUACUCGGGUAUAUAGUUCUCCAUUAUGCAGUACACAUCGACCGAUCGCUUUCCGUAGUAGACUUGAAUACUAAGAAUGAGCCUUUCAUAGAAACCGCACCCACACGGUGUUUUGCGGAGGAAAUUUCCACUUGGUGAUGGGUCAUAUUGUUCAGUUGUUUAUCGACGUAAUUUUGCUGUGACCGCAUUCAAUCCUUUAUUAGUUCUCCUGAAAGGCUUGUGUUGUUGCUGAGCACAUUUAUGUUCGACCGGAGAAACGCUGAAAAUAGUGUAGAAUACCGAUCUGAAGCGUCUCCAACAGUUUCGCAGUGUACACUUCUUGUCACGGCACAUGUAAAAGUUGCUACUCAAAGUUUGGCUAUGUCUCCUUUCUUGUUUUUUUUUUGUGGUUGCUCCCAGCGCACCGUUGAAACGUAGAUGAGCUAUUUCAAACAAUGUGGUUUUCGUUACUCUAUCUUCAAGAGGAGGUACUUCCUCUUACAAGGAUCUGGAAUUGUAUCUUCGCCACACAACGCACUGUCGUAUUACUUCUUUCACUUAUUUUCGUGCUCCGAUUACUCGAAAUCUCGUUAUUAUACGCGCCAGUGUACUGCGUUCUCCACCGUGAAGUUUGUCCAUGUAGGUGUCGCACUAAUAGUCCAGAUUUCUUCCAUUUACAUGUGAUCGGGUGCUGCUCCUCUUGUGAUACGGGCCCUACCGAAGGCGCCCUUGAAGUCUCAUUGGGUCUUUAUCUUAAGAUAUCCGAUAUUCGCCUAUUGUCUGCGCAUUCGCUUGCUUGCUGAAUUUCUGCAAUUUGCAAUACACACAUUGUUCUAACCAAAUGAGGCAUGUUUCGGCGGUAUUUAUUUCUUCUGCUUUUAGUGGACCGUUGAACUUGUCCUCUAAUAUUCACGGAACGAAACAUUCACGCAGUUGCUCUCCAAAUAUUCAAGUAACUGCCGAACCUGUCAACUUCAAUGCCUCGUCUUGAGAUCCUUUUCGACGUAUAUCUGACACUAUAAUCAUGUCCUUUCCUUUCAUUAAUAACCGGCAUUUUCUAACGGCUAUUUGGUCUGUAGCAACUGGGAUACCUUCCACAAAAUUGUUCACUUCAUCUUUUCUACAGUGGCUCCUGGUUAUAUCUGCUCAAUUUUUCAGUACUAUUGACGUAUCCCCAUUGUUCUCCUGCUGAGUAAUCCUUUUUUUUUUCUAGUCUGUGUUCAACAGUUGCUUCAUACGUUUUCGUUCUCCAAUGCAGCACGAUUGUACAAGUGGUCCGAUACUUCACUGUUGCUCGCAAGUUCUAAUUUGCGAGACUGUCAACGGUGUUCAUUAGAGCUACUCUGACCUUUGCCAGGACCAGCACUGUCUCCGCUCUGAUAUAACAAUACCAUGAAUGCUGCACUUGAAUACACCGCCGGGUUUGCGUCCGAGAAGUGUCGGUGCUUACGUUCCGUUUCUUGUUGUCGAUAUGCUUUGAAGCAUUUAGUCCUUUAUCUUCCUCGGUAUAUUUCUCCAUAAAUCAUUUAUCUUCGUCUGGGAGAGGGUUGUCCCAAGAUUCCGAGUUUUUCCCGUCAUUGAAUACCGAUAUUAGCUGCUGCAGUGCAGGACGUUAGAAACUCCAGCCGACCAAAUAUUUUUGCCGUGGCUUGAAAUACUCCUCGCUGCGUGAGCAUUUCACUCGAGUCUUAUUCAUAUCGAUGGGAAAGCAGAAUACCGUCGGCCGUGUCCCAGUUAAAUCCUAGAAUACUGGGCUGGCUUGAUAACGUAAGAACGGCACCUUGAUGCGAAUUUAAAUUCUCAUUUCUUCACUGUUCGACGUCCAUUUCCUAAGAUUCAUUGCAGCUCGGAAAACUUCUUUUUCGCUUCUAUGUACACGCCUUUUGCCUGGUUUUAUGUUCCAAGCAUAACUUCAUCAACGCAAACUUAAUUACGUUUGCUGGUAUUGCAAGAAUUUAUUAGAAAAUUCAUUCACAGUGUUGGUGCAUCGGCAUUCAAAUUUCCUCCUGUCUGAAGAGAAUCAUUCAAAACAUUCCUGAUCUUAACCACGAGGCGUCAAAUACUACGCCUAAUUUUCUUGCUAGUCGGUCUUCUCGAAUUGCUUGAUGGCGCGAUAUGGUAGUUAUUGUUCAUUCUUCCGAACUCGCUCGUUCUGCUUUCCAGGUGUGAAACAUCUCGAAUUGAACAGUUUUAUUUUUAUCUCACUGCUGAAUUUGUCUGGUGUCUUCGAGAUAGUCUUCCGAUUGCUACUUCGUUGAUUUUCACGUUAACUUGCUCUCCAUCCUUCUGAACAGUCCUUGUAACUAUAGUCCACUUUAUACAUCUUUUCUUUCUGUGGAGCUAAGCCAGUAUAUUCCACCUUCAAAAAGUUCAAAAUGGAGAACGUCAGAUUCUGCGGCGUCAAGAACCAUGGCGAGUUUCGCGUUUCACAGUUCUACACCACAUGGGUCAGGCACAAUCCAGUUGGGUAUUUUCUAUUUUCCAUUGUAUCUUCGUUUCGUUUUUUCACUGGGCUUCCCUCCUCGCCUGCACUACUGCUGCUUCUGCACUCCUGUUUUGGUCCACAAGCAUACAUAACGCGCUCUUGCACGACUCUACGGUCUGCGCUCCAAAAGAUCACUUCGGGCACGAGCAUCACCUGUUCCAGGAGCGAGUGUUAUUGCUUCUACAUUCCCUCGCCAGCGGCGUCCUGCUGGUAGACUGGACUUGUCUCCUCGCCCUGCACUACUACUGUUUCUGCACUCCUGUUUUCGACUGCGGUGGGUACCUAGCACGCUCCUGCAGAUCGACUUUCCGUUCUGCGCUCCAAAGGAGAUUACUUCAGACACCAGCAUCACCCGUUCCAUGAGCGACUGCUAUUGCUUCUAUGUUCUCUCGCCGGCGGCGUCCUGCUGGCAGACUGGACUUAGCCUGGCGCCCUUGCACUUAAUUCUGGUUCUCAGUGUUUGCUGUUGCUUGUGGUGCAAGAGAAACGUUCCAACCCUCCCAUUUACAAGAACAUUCCUGGCCUUGCCUCACGAGCAACUAUAUUCAGCCCGGUCGUCCUGCCGCGUGCUCUAUACAAGCUUCCUCACAUUAGUGAACGCCUGACUUGGCGGUGUCCUGCACUGUGUUGACGGCGAGUUCAUGCUCAGGACUGCGCGUGGUCACCGUCCCGAGACCGUCCAUCGGAUGUGCUCCUACAGUUCGCUGUUGCCUUUUCCCGCAGGCAUAUUCAAGUUUUGUGUAGUAAGCUUUUCUGUUUUGGAAGAGUGACACGUUGCUCAACGAAUGUAUAGCGCUUCUAGAAAUCGGGUUAAUACGAAGCAGAACAGUAAAGGUCUAAUUAAGUGGACACCACUCGGUACUUAGUAAGGACUGUCAUGUUUUCAUGAGCGGAUCUAUAAAUUUUUGGUGGCGAGAGUAAUGGACGUUCAUUCAUUGUGCCCUUUCGUAGUAGUGUGUGUGUGUGUGUGUGUGUGUGUGUGUGUGUGUGUGUGUGUGUGUGGCCUACUCUGUGAUCCUUUUUUUCGAUCCAGAACGUAUGGCAUGAGUUCCGCUGCUACCUGGUGCACUUCGAAUUUUUUGUUUUGGUAGCAUUUCCAACGUCACAGUUGCUUCACCUUUCCCGGUUCAUUCCUGUUGAAAGGUUCCUGGUUAGAUGGUUUACUAUCGUCUAUGGACAUGCGCUUUUUGAUUGGUCGAACCGCUGGUUUCUCUGGCUUUGGACCAUGGGUUGACCUCUGCGCUCGUUUCAGCAUUCAGCGCUAUUGUUCAGGCGCCUUUCUCGUGCCAGAAACGGUCUUGACACACUCUCGGUUCUUCCACGUCACUCAUCACUGUCUCGAAAAGAUUAACAUGCCACUACAAAAGGACACAAUUUCAAUGAAUGGGAAAGGGGAGGGUGGUUAUUCUCGCCAACAAAGGUUCCCUGAUUUGCUCGUGAUGAUAAUGACGUCCAUCUUUAAGACCCGGUUGGUGGUAAAGAUAACCGGGCUCGCUGUUUCUAGUUUUUGGUGUCCUUGACUCAUCAAAUGCUUUUAUGGAUCUACGUAGUCCAACUUAUGUAUUACCUGUCGUUUGCUUAUGAGACAGUGCUACCCGCUGUCUUCUCUUGUUCACCGCAUACACCGCGCCGUAGUUUGAUAUUUGUGUCCACAACUAUCGCGUACUCUGCAAGAUAGGCAAGAAUGCUGUAGCGCCAUGGCGCCCUUCACGCGGCUGUGACGUCGUUGCCUGCUGACUGUAGUUCAGAUUACGCACACUUGUGUGAUUUCGUAAUUGAAGUGCACCGCGUGAGCCAUUGUCAAACAGCUGCUUCGAAGGGGCUACAUGUACUCCCCUUAUGCCAAGUCGAGUGUAAACGUCUAGAGAAGUGACGUGCACGAGCACGCUAAAAAAAAUCUUGAUUAGAAAAUGUGUCCGCUUUACUUGUAUUUAUGGCGUUGAAGCGAAUUAAGUUUACCAGAGUUACCCCCGUACUUGUUUUUUUGCUGUACGCUGCGUCUUUCCAUUGCUCUUCGCAUGCAUCUGAACGCGUUUGCAUUGAAUAGUGACUGAAUUUGCACAUGCUACCACUGUUGUCCUAAUCUCGAUAUAAGGACGCACACUUGAUUUAUUACGAAUUGCUUCCAUUGUUCUCAACCUAUAAUAACCUUACCUCUGCGUUUCUCGAUAACUAAAUAAAAAAUGAGCACUGUCCUUGGUAAAUGGUUACGUAUGCUGUAUUGCUCUGCCUUUUUUUUUUCGCUGCUUUCAUACGCUGUGAUGAAAGUUGAGCAACCACGCAUGCGCGGUAGUGCUCAGUCGAAUGCAUUUUUCUUAACCUCUAACAUACACACAGCGCAAUGGAGCCUUACUGUAGAAAGUGUAUUUGUUUUCCAUCUUCAGUUACACGACAGUCCUGCAAUUGCGCCACACAAUACUCGCAAUCAGUUUACGAUACGACCAGUGUGGUGAUUUGGACUUCUUGAUGUGCAUCCGCCGUGGUUGCUUAGUGGCUAUGGUGUUCGGCUGCUAAGCACGAGGUUGCGCUAUCGAAUCCCGGCCACGGCGGCCGCAUUUUUAUCGGGGCGAAAUGCGAAAGCACCCGUUCACCUAAUUUAGAUACACGUUAAAGCACCCCAGGUGGUCCAAAUUACCAGUCUCCCACUGCGGCGUGCAUCAUCAGAUCGUCGUUUUCGCACGUAAAACCUCACAAUUUUUGUUGGUAUGUGUCAUCGGAGGCUUUUCUUUUUUUGUCUAACGCAACUAGUACGUGGGCGCAGAGAAAACCCACACUGCACUCAAUAGUUCGCAAUACGACCGUGAUGCACGAAAUAACUGCACAUUGGAGGAUGUGACGUGGUAUAUAUAGAUCGUCUAAAAAUGUGUUUUAGUCCCUUCUGUGCGUUUCGCAUCGAACUGGGAAGUUCGAAUACUUGCGCGCUUUCUAGUUUACUGAAAACAAAUGCCGGAAUCGUUUUUUUUUUUUUCAUCUCCCAGCGAUGGUGCUCUACUACGCUUACCCAUUUCAGAUCAGUUUUACAACUUGACGCUAUUUGAACUUUAAUGUAUGCAAAGAAGUCUGUUAUUGCGCCAUGACUUAUGCUGUUAUUUUCGGUUUACUGAUCUAAGAAAACUGUUCUCAGUUUUACAUUAUUAUACGUCGAAGUAUCGUGAAGCUGAGAAAUUGUGGUACGUAAAUUUCGGUAUGUAUUUGACAUGUAUUCCUGUACAAAUGCGUAAAUGUAUGUUAAUGCAGUGUAUAUAUGCUACUGUUUGCAGCAUCUGGGAUUAAGUCCAGUCAAGUAGCAUUGAAUCGCUUUUAAUUCCGUUUACUUAACAGUCGUGUUUUGUGCUGGUUGUACUGAGUAUGCAUUGCAUUAAACUGCACCUUGUCCAAAUCAUCUGUCGAAAUAAAACUUAUUCUUGUUGCCCGUCUCACUAA